ACUCUGAAGCGCAAUCUGCAUCAGAAAUAUAACUGAUUUCUAUUUUAACAGACGCUCGUUGGCGCACGUGAGCAGUAUGGGUGCAAUAAUUGAAUAACAUAGAUUUUGCGACGCGAGUGGUGUUGUCAGCCUGUAAAAGGAGUCUGGGAGUUUUGAUAUGAACAAGUGUGCUUGCCAACAUUCAUCCUGCCCAACAAAAAUUAUAUAACAGUAUAAAAUAACUUGUUUUGGGGUGUGUUUUGACAACUUUCCAAAAACAUGUACUCUAAACUAUUCUCGGUCCGUAUGUACCAAGCGUCUCGGAGUAGGGGUGUUGAUUUGGGUUCAGUUUUGCCUUUAAGAUUAUAAUGGACCGAGAGGACCUGAUCAGUACCACCACUCUGAGGGGAGCUGACCAGAACUCCAACUGUGAGAGGAUCUGAGCAGCAAUCCAACUGUGAGAGGAUCUGAGCAGCACUCCAACUGUGAGAGGAGCUGACCAGCAAUCCAACUGUGGUCCUGGUAAUUGAACCCACUAUCCUGGUGUUGCAAGUGCGCUACCAACUGAGCUACAGAGGACCACCACUUCUCCAAAAUGUUGAGUAAACUCAAAAACACAAAUGGAGAAAAGAUCAUUCCUCUUCAUUGGGCUUUUAAAGAGAGCGACGACACUGCCAUUGUCAGGUUGAGGUUUCAUCCUACAGCCAAGUCACACCAAGUGGAGGCAUUUACCUCCCACAGCCUCGUUGGCAACUUGCUCAGGAGAAUUCACAUGGUAACAACACAAAAGCCCCAUCCGGAUGGUUUUGCAUUCAAAGUAUAUUUACAGAGCUGAAGUGGCAAUAAAUCUUGACACAGAGACACAUUUAUGCCUCUUAAAAUGUAAACAAUAUAGGUCUGUAAUUAAAUCCUCCCAGCUCCUAAAAUGUACAAUUAUGUACAUCUAAGUCACAGAGCUUUUAUAUAUUUUUCUAUUGUAAGUCAAUUAUUACAUGUUUGUAUGAAUGUUACAAUAAAAUGUUUCCUUUAUAAAAAAAAACAAGUAUUCAUGGACAUGAUCAUCAAACAUUUGUUAACCUUUCAAAGGGGAACUAAGAUGAAUUAAAGUUUCUGCUGUAUCCUGUAGCAGAGCAAUGAUUGAGAUACAAAACACUGUUUAUCAAUAGAUAGAAGCUGCUUAACAAAAUUCUUCUUGGUAACUUGUUGGUGAGGAACUAAUCAUUUGUUAAUAGAUGAAGUUUAUCAGACGUUUUUAUACUCAGCUAUGAACACAUUUAAACAUUCAUAUUUGAGUGAAGGUUCGAUUUUCUAAAAAACUAUAUAUUCAUUUAUAAAUGAGGGUGGGGGUGUGUAUGCUUUUUUUUAAUCAGAGGAAAAGAUUAAGUGAUUCAUACUAAGCAUGGCCACAUCUGCUAAUACAGAUAGCAGAAGGGUAAUUUCCAGUUAAAGGCACAAUCUGAUAUUUCAUCAGCCUGGCCCUGCCACUUUGUUUGGUAAGCUAAUGGGGUUGAGGAAAUGUAACAACAUUCAAAAUUCAUAUACUGAGCUAUAGACAUGACUGACAGUUCAUGACAUCAACAUAUACUUUUUUUUAACUAAAAUUGUUACAAAAACCUAAGCAAUGGAGGAAGUGUCUUAGAUUUGGGUUUAUGAUAGUGUAAGACAUCUAUGCUUGUACUAGCCUGAGAGCAAUGGGUAUAUUUACAUUUCAAAUUAGUAUAGUACUGACAAUGAAGUUCUUGUAGUACUACUAACAGAAUGAAGUAGCUACAUAAAUAAUUUCCACUGUAACCUCUGCCCUGUACCCUCUG